GAUGAACGCUGACAGAAUGCUUAACACAUGCAAGUCGACUCGAGUCUUCGGACUUGGGUGGCGCACGGGUGAGUAACGCGUAAAGAACUUGCCUCUUAGACCGGGACAACAUCUGGAAACGGAUGCUAAUACCGGAUAUUAUGGUUUUUUCGCAUGGAGGAAUCAUGAAAGCUAGAUGCGCUAAGAGAGAGCUUUGCGUCCCAUUAGCUAGUUGGUGAGGUAACGGCCCACCAAGGCAAUGAUGGGUAGCCGGCCUGAGAGGGUGAACGGCCACAAGGGGACUGAGACACGGCCCUUACUCCUACGGGAGGCAGCAGUGGGGAAUAUUGGACAAUGGGCCACAAGUCUGAUCCAGCAAUCCUGUGUGCACGAUGACGUUUUUCGGAAUGUAAAGUGCUUUCAGUCGGGAAGAAGUCAGUGACGGUACCGACAGAAGAAGCGACGGCUAAAUACGUGCCAGCAGCCGCGGUAAUACGUAUGUCGCAAGCGUUAUCCGGAUUUAUUGGGCGUAAAGCGCGUCUAGGCGGCAAGGAAAGUCUGAUGUGAAAAUGCGGAGCUCAACUCCGUAUGGCGUUGGAAACUGCCUUACUAGAGUACUGGAGAGGUAGGCGGAACUACAAGUGUAGAGGUGAAAUUCGUAGAUAUUUGUAGGAAUGCCGAUGGGGAAGCCAGCCUACUGGACAGAUACUGACGCUAAAGCGCGAAAGCGUGNGUAGCAAACAGG
rnacentral:rRNA from 1 species